UACGUAGGUGACAAGCGUUAUCCGGAAUUACUGGGCGUAAAGCGCACGCAGGCGGCUGAGUAAGUCUGACGUGAAAUCUCCCGGCUUAACCGGGAGCGGUCGUUGGAAACUACUUGGCUUGAGGCGAUGAGAGGGGUGUGGAAUUCCCGGUGUAGUGGUGGAAUGCGUAGAUAUCCGGAGGAACACCGGUGGCGAAGGCGGCUUCCUGGACCGAUACUGACGCUGAGGCGCGAAAGCUAGGGGAGCAAACGGG
rnacentral:rRNA from 1 species